CAUAAUAUCUGAAAACCGCAACGGAAACGCGUCCAACAACUCAAAACGGUGCCGAAAUCUACAAAAAAUUGGCUCCAAUGUCAGCAAAAAGAAAAUUUGGAGCUCAACAAGGAAGCCGAUGUAAUGCCGUGCCUGGAUGCUCCUGCUCAAUUCCGCGAAACAGUUCGCCUUACUGCAACAGAGCAAAAAAUCAAUGGAAUUCUUGAGGAAAAGGAAACGAAUGGAGGUUUCGCGGUUAGUUUGGCUUCAAGAACUCGAGGUUCUCUCCGCCGUUCAUUUUUAUAGGUUUGAAGGAUUCGGGAGAAGAUGAAGAAACGAUGUCGUCAUGAUUUGAGUAGGCGAUUCGGAAUCUGUGGAUCACCAAGGACAGCAGAAAUUCUUCUACCAACUUGAUGAACCGGAGUACAACAACUUCACAAAACGAUUGGAUCGCUUCGAUGACCGUCGACAGAAGAAAAAUUUAUUUUCUACAUAA